rnacentral:tRNA from 1 species
UCCCUAGUGGCUCAGAGGUUAAAGCACCUGCCUGCAAUGUGGGAGAACUGGGUUCGAUCCCUGGGUCGGGAA